ensembl:lncRNA
AAAUGGUAAAAUUGAGACCACAUUACUCUGCAAAGUCUUUGAUUUAAUCGUAGUUGAACUUUCUAACCUCCUGUUUAGGUUUAAGGUCUCAAUCUACCCCAGUUGAGCUCAAAGUUGCCACAAGAGUUGAUGCACACACUGUCACAGUCUCUCCAGGUUCAACCCUUCACCUUACUUCAGAGUACACCAUGGAUGCUUCAGGUUUAAGGUCUCAAUCUACCUCAGUUAACCUCAAAGCUACCACAAGAGGUGAUGCACACACUGUCACAGUGUCACGGAGAACAGUGUUGAUCUUGGCGGUGACUAGCCUGUGCAUUGUCCUGACUGGUGUGUCUGCACUCUGUCUCAUCUGGACAUGUCGUAUGUGAUAUUCAUGACAUUUCAUUCAUAGAAUAGCUCUAGGAAAACACAUUAAUGCUCAAGGCAAUGCAUU